rnacentral:rRNA from 1 species
AGUGAACGCUGGCGGUAGGCCUAACACAUGCAAGUCGAACGGCAGCACAGUAAGAGCUUGCUCUUACGGGUGGCGAGUGGCGGACGGGUGAGGAAUACAUCGGAAUCUACUUUUUCGUGGGGGAUAACGUAGGGAAACUUACGCUAAUACCGCAUACGACCUACGGGUGAAAGCAGGGGAUCUUCGGACCUUGCGCGAUUGAAUGAGCCGAUGUCGGAUUAGCUAGUUGGCGGGGUAAAGGCACACCAAGGCGACGAUCCGUAGCUGGUAUGAGAGGAUGAUCAGCCACACUGGAACUGAGACACGGUCAAGACUCCUACGGGAGGCAGCAGUGGGGAAUAUUGGACAAUGGGCGCAAGCCUGAUCCAGCCAUACCGCGUGGGUGAAGAAGGCCUUCGGGUUGUAAAGCCCUUUUGUUGGGAAAGAAAAGCAGCAGGUUAAUACCCCGCUGUUCUGACGGUACCCAAAGAAUAAGCACCGGCUAACUUCGUG